rnacentral:rRNA from 1 species
UUUGGCAGGGUGCAAUGUGGUGUUCGGGAGGGUCCAUUCGUGCCUUGAGCUCUGAUGUCCAAGUCCCCCUGACCGGGGCCAUCGCCCGUUGAGGGUGCAAGGCCUGUUGGGCAGGGCUUAGUCUAAGAUCUCGGCGCGUUGGGUCCCUUCCUUGGAGUCGGGUUGCUUGAGAGUGCAGCCCAAAGUGGGUGGUAAACUCCACCUAAGGCUAAAUACUUGCCACGAGACCGAUAGCAAACAAGUACCGUGAGGGAAAGUUGCAAAGAACUUUGAAGAGAGAGUUCAAGAGUGCGUGAAACCGUUUGGAGGUAAACGGGUGGGAGCUCGAAGGUCGAACGGAUGGGAAGGGAUUCAACUCGGCGCGGUAGCUGGUUGGCCUCGGGGUGCGCUUGGGCGACGUUACUGUCUCUUAACGGGGGCGUGUGCGUUGCUCCGCAUUCUGGUCGACCGAGUUUGCCGCCGCCUUGUGCAUUUCCCUGUCUCCCCUCUCCUAGUAGGACGCCGCGACCGGCUGUCGAGGGAAGCCCAAAAGCUGGCGGGAGCAGCUGCGCGGAUGAGUGUGGGAUUCGUUCCCUGCAUCCGGUCUGUCUGUCUCCUGCCGCAUGCGGGCAGCUUCUUCCGGCCGAGGACUUGCGCGAGGUCGAGCCCCUGAAAGGGGGUUCCCUCGUCCAUGCACGUACCCACGAUCCAACGGGGCGGGUCGAUUGAACCCAACGGGUGGCUGCGGGCGUUUGCGUGCCGGCUUAACUGCUGCUGCGUGUGAACGCCUCGUUGUCAGUCGCUGGCGGUCAGGGUGCGGGCUCCCGCUGCAAUGGGGUGCUCGGGGUCUGCGGCGAGUAGGUUGGUUUCCCACCCGACCCGUCUUGAAACACGGACCAAGAAGUCUAACGUGUGGGCGAGUCUUCGGGGCCUAAGAACCCUUAGAAGGCGAAAUGAAAGUGAAGGUUGGUCCGGGUUCUCCUUCAUUGGAUGAGCCUGGCCGACUUGGGUGGGAUCCCGCGUCUAAAGGCGCGGGCGCACCACCGGCCCGUCCUA